rnacentral:lncRNA from 1 species
CUUUGCUUGAAUAAUUUAUAUUUGCCUUUUUUUCUUCCCAGUGCAAGAAUUCUUUAAUUAAUAAUGUUGGAGAUAUGUAUAAUGCAAAAUUAAUGUUUUCAUACUCUGAUUUUGAGGUCUCUUCUGUUAGAAAAAUUAAUCUCUAUACAAUUUCUGUAGAUAUCACUGAAUAUCUGCUUUAUUCUCAACGUGCUAUGAACUAUAGAAGAAAAUUAGCAUGCUGCCCCCAAUUUUCUCCUGUUAUGCUGUGGAUUUGGUACUGAGACAGAGUCAAAGAGAAACGGUUUUGUAAAGUUCACCUAAAUUUUUCCAGUUUCUUCUAGGAAGGUGAGGUCUAUACAAGUACUUGUCUGUGUCCAGGGAUAGAGAUGGAGAAAAGGAAAAAUUCAAAAGUGGGACAGUCAGGCUAGUAAUGAUAGCAAAACUUAAGCCCUAUCACAUUUCCAUACUGUAUUCUAUUUACCUUUGUGUAUUUUAUUUAAUUGGUUGAGACUAAAGAUAGAACCACAUAUUUUUCUUUUUCCUUCAUCACUUCUUACAGUUUUAUAAAUACAGACUAGUUAACUGCAGCCAAGUUGAGAGAAAAGAAACUGAUUUAGACUUUAGGAAGAAUAUCAAUUUUAAAAUGUGCAUUCCACUCUUCAUAUUUCAUAUUUCUCACUUUCCUUGUGUUUGGCAUACAUUUUAGGUGGACAAAGGUUCAUGUACACCUCAAAUAUUUGCCUUAAUUGUCAAAUGUUUCUAGAAAUAAGAUGCAUAAUUGGUUUUGCAUGAUAUUAUGAAUAUUUUCACAGCAGCUAUUUUUACAAAGUAGAGCAGUGAAUUAUUUUAGAGAUUUUUCAAUCAAAUGUUUCCAGAAUAAGUGGAGCCCCUGCUGCCAGAGCCACAGGAUGACUGCCUCUAGCCCAGCAGCCUUGCCUGUGGCUUAUGAAGGAAGCUUCUGGAAUGUUUCCUAAGGGGCUGGCACAAAUAAGCUCAGGCUCUUUCUACUCUGUUGUGAUGGGCUGUGCCCAGCAAGAAGGUAUUGCACAUGUGUUCAACUGACUGUGGGCAAAUUAAGGAAAUGCAUUUCCUCCAGGGAAAGAGCUGGAGGUGUGAGAGAAACAGGCAGGUGCAG